rnacentral:rRNA from 1 species
UACGUAGGUGGCAAGCGUUGUUCGGAAUUACUGGGCGUAAAGGGCGCGUAGGCGGUGUGUCAAGUCAGGCGUGAAAGCCCCGGGCUCAACCUGGGAACAGCGCUUGAGACUGGCACGCUCGAGUUCGGGAGAGGAUGGUGGAAUUCCCAGUGUAGAGGUGAAAUUCGUAGAUAUUGAGAGGAACACCAGUGGCGAAGGCGGCUCACUGGGCUCUACCUGACGCUGAGGCGCGAAAGCGUGGGGAGCGAACCGG